rnacentral:sRNA from 1 species
AUCAUCACCAGUGAGGUCUGGUGGGAGGCAGAGGGUGGGGAGAGGAGGCUGAGGAAGGAACGAUCAGGACCACAUAAUGAAUGGCCUUGCAUGCCCGGCCAACGAAUGAGUGCUUUAUCCUGAGGACAUUUGGGAGCCAUCAGAAUUUCUAAGCAGGGAGUAACACCAGGAGAACUGUCUUCUAGAAGGACCACUCUGGGGCAGUGAGGUGGAGUGACCUGUCAGGAUGCUGUGGCCACAGUCUAGAGGGAGACGCUGGGGGCCUGGUGGGAGGGUGGAGAGAAAAGAGCAGAUUGGUGAGACAUCAUGAUGUAAAUUUGACAGCACUAAGUAUCUAUCUUUGUAGGGUGAUCCAGGAGCUGCAGGACAGAAGGGCCAGGCAGGAGAGAAGGGGAGAGCCGGCAUGCCUGGUGGACCUGGCAAGAGUGGUUCCAUGGGGCCUGUUGGGCCACCGGGCCCUGCAGGAGAGAGAGGCCACCCUGGAGCUCCGGGGCCUUCGGGGAGCCCUGGCUUGCCUGGUGUGCCUGGCUCCAUGGGAGACAUGGUGAAUUAUGAUGAAAUCAAGAGGUUCAUCAGACAAGAGAUCAUUAAAAUGUUUGAUGAGAGAAUGGCUUACUACACCUCCAGGAUGCAGUUCCCCAUGGAGAUGGCGGCAGCUCCGGGACGACCAGGGCCUCCAGGGAAGGAUGGUGCUCCGGGCAGGCCAGGUGCUCCAGGGUCACCUGGGCUCCCUGGUCAGAUUGGCAGAGAAGGACGGCAGGGCUUGCCAGGAGUAAGAGGACUGCCUGGUACCAAAGGUGAAAAAGGGGACAUUGGUAUUGGCAUUGCAGGAGAAAAUGGUCUUCCCGGCCC